GCGGGCUUGGAAUCAUGAUGCUGUGGGCCCGCAUCACAGCGCGUCUAAGCGGGUGAUCACGGGGAUCUCCAUCACACCCGCCGGUAUAGCCGCGUCUGCUUAAAGUAGGCCGCAUGGGGAAGCUCGCAUUGCUCCAAGCGCUCCGAAUUUUAUAGAGUAAGACGCGCCGCACGCCGUGGAGGGGUGAUUCGUGUUGGACGAAUCAGAAGGUGCGGGACGCCG
rnacentral:sRNA from 12 species